AACGAAAAAGGCAAACCCGUCGUGAGGCGGGGACGCAAAGCCACGGGGCUCUUAAGAGUCGGCCGGGUUGCCGUAC
rnacentral:ncRNA from 1 species